GCCCUCCCGGCUCUGCAUGGUUGCACUUGCUUCUAAACGUGUGGCUUUCGUAUUGGGGAGGGAGAGAAAGGAGCUUCUCGAAGCCUGGAGUGGCCUCGCGGUAGCCGCUCUGUCCUCGAGGGGCGCGACAGCC
rfam:Erinaceus europaeus unplaced genomic scaffold scaffold00356, whole genome shotgun sequence